rnacentral:misc_RNA from 1 species
UUUCCGUAGGUGAACCUGCGGAAGGAUCAUUAUUGUAUAACCGAGGUGCGAGGGCUGUCGCUGACCCGAAAGGUCGUGCACGCCCGAGUGCCCUCACACACAUCCAUCUCACCCCUAUAUGCACCACCGCGUGGGUCCCCCUUUGGCUUGUUCGGAGGGGGGCUUACGUUUUCACACAAACUUUGUAUGCAGUGUAGAAUGUAUUUUUUGUUUUUGCGAUCACGCAAUCAAUACAACUUUCAACAACGGAUCUCUUGGCUCUC